rnacentral:misc_RNA from 1 species
AUUCAAUUAGCAUUAGUAUAAUUAACCUAAUUAGACUUACACAAUUUAAGAAACAAUAAUAUCCAAAACUUAUCUAGAGAAAUAUAAUGGUGAUGCAACAUCAAAAAAUUCAUGAAAAGUAAUGCUUAUCACCAAAUUUCCAUGUGUUAUAAGCAAGGAUACAAAACUGAUAGCAAUACAAGCUACAACAACGCCGAAUGGUAUAAUCUUAAAGUUUGCUCUACUCUAAAUAUUCUAAGAAAGAUUAAACAUUUGAACAGGCCAACUGCGCUUCCGACCAUCAGGGCCAACACUAACAGUUUCCAUUGAUAUGUCAAUGCUCCGAUGUUGGGCAGCACGGACGAUGCUAAUACGCAACUGAAUUGUUGCAGCAGGGAAUGCAUGUGUGCCAACAGCUGCAGAUCUACCAUCAGCAGGGAGAUUUUCUGGUGCCAUUGCUAUUGGUUCCCGGAAGGUGAGGAUGGUUUGCGACCAAUGCGUUUUAGGAGUGCAGGGGGAUGUCGACAACACAGCUGGUGUUUCUUUGCAGAACCUGGUGGUAAAACCAGUAUCAAACCACAGUACAACCCCAUAGCAACAAAUUGUUUUGGACGCCAUUUCAAUGGAGUUGCUAGCCAAACUACAUGACUUUGGUUUGAGUUCAAUGCUUGCAGUGAAAUCCACCUCUCCAGGCUUCAUGGUUGCCAGGUCAAAAGUCUGGAGAACAGUAGCAUCAGUCACUAGAUCACAAUCAUCCACAACAUCAACAACAGGAAUUUGAGCAGCAUCCUGAACAAGUUCUUUGCCAAUGCAAGACAUAUUGAAACCAUACACAUCUUCCCAAAAUGGAAGACUAGUACUACCCCUUCCAAAACCCGCAGCAUAAAUAGUUGCUGUGUCAGGGAGAAUGGCACCUCCAGGCUUCAACCAUUUAUCUCUUGCAAGGAGCACUGAGCUGAGCAUUGACUCAUAGAGUAGGCAAUAACCCAUCCAUUCACUCAAUAACACAUCAAUGCUAUGUGGUUCGAUUUGUAUGUAUUUAUCAAGCUCUUCAACCAUUCCUUGAACUACCUCUAUUACCCCAGUGCACUGGUCAUUGCUUUCAUUAUGCCAAAGGCCAUUGUCUUUGGCAAUCUGAGUUGCCACUGCAGCCAUCUUCUCACUGGCUUCAACUGCAAUCACUCUUGAAGCCCCUGCUUGGGCUGCAAAAAGACUUAGUAUGCCAGUUCCGCAACCUAAAUCCAUCACAACCGCACCAGUCAAGAGUGAAGGAUUUUUCAAGAUAGCUUGGCUAUAAGCAUCCAUCCUUACCUUAUCACUUAUCAUCUCUCUGUGGAUACCAAAUGAACUAUAAGCACCAAAAUAAUUGUCAUUGACUUUCUUUAUAUCCUUUGCAACAAGAUUCAAAGGGCCCUUCGACACAGAUGCAACCUCUUUCAUUUCCUUUCUUUCAAAACUGUUAGAACUAGCUUCAGAAUUCUGUCCAGUGUUGUCAUCUUCAAGACAAAUCUUUUCAAUAUUCGCCAAAUCCCUUAUGACCUCCUCUUUAUACACUGACGAGGUAAAAUCGUCUUCACCUUCUUCAUCUUCAGCAAAACUGUACAAGAGUGAAUCAUCUUGAAUAAAAGGUUUAAGAUAUUUAUCAUCAUCCCAUAAAGGCUUAAUGUCUUCAAGGUUGACUGCGUCAUGUAAAUGACACUGUAGAUCUCUGUUGGACUUACAGGUAAGCCCACAACUCCAACAUCUGUUUUCUGCCACCUGACAGCGGACAUAGUUGAUGAGCUUGAAUGAGCUGUAGAAAUCCAAGCUCAACUGUUUCCUUAUCCCCCGAAAAUCAAAUUUAUGAAUUAAACUACAAUGAUCGAGUAAUUCAGUGCACGCACUGUACUUGGAAUCACAAAACAAGCAGCGAAAAUUCGAUUCCGAUUCCUCUUCUCCAUCAUCGUCUCUCCAAUCUUCCCAGUCACCGUUUUCUUCUUCUUCCUC